rnacentral:rRNA from 1 species
CUGUCGUAAUACCAAAACGACUCUCGGCAACGGAUAUCUUGGCUCUCGCAUCGAUGAAGAACGUAGCGAAAUGCGAUACUUGGUGUGAAUUGCAGAAUCCCGUGAACCAUCGAGUCUUUGAACGCAAGUUGCGCCCGAAGCCGUCAGGCCGAGGGCACGUCUGCCUGGGCGUCACGC